AUAGCUUCCCUCGGGUUCGGUAGAACUCCUCGACUGGCUUGCUCAUCUCAUGAUAUAUGCGUAGCCUUUCUUUUACAACUUCUUCCUUGUCAUCAGGUCGAGUAAUGAGCUUUGUAGAGCAUUGUGAAGGAGGAGGCAGAGGGGCCAUGACUAUACCAGGCCUCCCAUUCUCGCUCUUGAUGUCUAUGGAAGCGACGUUGAAAUUCCCUCCACAUUGGCUGCACAUCCUUCUCCCAAGACAUUUUGCAACCAGUACAUCUUCUCUCAGCUUUAGAUUUACUACCAGAUCUAUAUCAGUGACCCCCUCCAGUAUUUCCGCUUGUCGUAGAGUUCGUGGAAAACCAUCAAGUAUGAAUCCUGAUUCACCCUUAGCUUCUCCAUUUUCA
rnacentral:misc_RNA from 1 species